GUUCCUACCCCACCCCAGUCCUGUGUGAAAACAAGGGCAGAACUGUUCAGAACUCCCCCAGGGAAAAGAAAUCCAACCAGGAGCUGACCUUCUUCCAACCCUGGGUGCUGGGGGCUGAGGUGUGGCCCUCCACCCCAGCAUCCCAGGUCAUUCCAGCACCUUCUCUCCUCACCCUCUUCCUCAGCAACAGCUUCCCACGCGGCUCCUGCCUUCCUGUGGCCCAUGAAGAGCUCUCUGUAUUCCCUCUGUGAGUCAUGCCAGCAGGCUGCAGGAUGGUGACAUCAGCCCUCAGUGGGGCCGAGCAGGCCAAGGGUUUGUUUGGGGCUUUGUGCUGGGGGUGAGGGCCAGGACCGCGUGGUAGAACAUCAGCACAUGCUGCAGACACCUCUUCUUUCCAUGGGGCUGGUGCUCCACCUGAGGCCAGGGCACAGAGGGUGAAGCUGCAUCCCAAGACUACGCAAAAGAGGAAAAUUAAGGUGAAAAAUUUCCAAAGUCUGGGAAAGGAAGACAGGAAACAGCAAGACCAGAAACGAUGAAAACCAGCACCACAUUGUGAAUGGUGGACUGCUGCCUGUAACCUAUAGGAAAAAUGCCAGUGACCGUGCAACGUUCAGGUAAUCACAGAAAGAUGAAAGGCCGCACGGGUGGUUUAGGAACAAAAUUGUUCUUGUUCAGGGAAUUUUCAGAUUUAGCAAGAAGUCAUGAGAUCUGCAGAGAGUCAGUAAAUUUCCACAGCUGGGUUCUGUUCUUCACCCCCCCUUGUGGCAAACUCUGCUGAACCACCAAACAUGUUUCAAUCAGCCCGAAACCUGCAGGAUCCCUUGGAAAAUCCCAGACAGCAGCUGGAUGUUGUUAGCCUGGGUACCAAGAAAGGCAGUGGUGAUUUGCACCAUCACCACUUCUGUGCUUUGGUGGGAGAGGGUUGAGGUCAACGGGACAAGAUGCACAAAAAGGAUUGUGCGAAAAAGAGAAUGAGAGAAAAGGACAGUCAUGGUUUGCAAGGGAGAUGUAAAUAGUUUCCGGGAUUGGAAGGCCUAGAUGUACAGAAAAUGAGAAGUAGAGGGGGGAAGGAAGGUGCGUCAUCAACUGGCAACACGAUCUCUCUGGAGUAAAUAAAACAGUUUUGUGUGUGCCAAGUGUGUCCCUCACUUUCCUUUUACAGAGCGCCCAAUGCUGCUUAGAUCCCAGGUGCUUGAUUUCCAUGUUCACAUACUUUGAUGUGCAUGAAUUGAACUAUCUUUCCGUAAGGCAAUAGCGAAUAAUGAGCUAAAUACAUCCUACAAAGAGGGGUAUCCAUGGGCCAUUGAGUGUCAGGAUACAAUUACAUAAGAAAACUCAUUUUUUUUAGAAAAGGCCAAUUUUCUAAAAACCACCUGACAUUUUUGGCCCUCGAGAUGGAUCAGUGCAUAACUCAGGCAUGCAGCUCAGAUCAGGUGCUGCAGUUUGGAGAAACAUCAACAUUUCUAAUAGGGUAUCAGUCAAGAAGGGGCAAAUAAAAUUCAGAGGAAUGUGCUGCAAGCUAGAAGGCAAGUCACAAGAGAGCAGAAUCAGGUAAAUCCAACUAUCGGUGAAGUAACAAAUUUAUUCCAUUGGCUUUAUGACCUUGUUGUGUUUUCUCUCUAAGACUGCAUGUGUAAAUAUGGUAGGCAGGAGACUCCAGGACAGUGCUACUUCUGACUUUCCACUGGCUCACCAAGGUUCAGCUGACUGACUUACAUCAAGCCCCUCACAGUCAUAAGAACAGACCUUAUGCUUCUUGACAAAGCAGGCCAGGGGGGGUGAAGAACCAUGGGUCCAGUUCAGGGCCCAUACGCCAAUGGACAUGGGAAUCCUAACCAGGAUUAGCAGAUGGAUCAAAGCAUUUAAGACUGCAUUUGCAGAGCUGAAUAACUAAAGGAAGGUCGGUCAUCCAUAGGGCAUUUCAAGUUUUCCCUCAGCAGGACAAAAAAUCAGCAAUAGGUAAGGGAUCUCCGUGGCCGGACAGCCACUGCCCUAGCUUGAAUGCUGUGAGGCUCUUUCAGUUCUGCAGAUAGUAGUUCUGUAAACAGGAAUUACCUUUGGACCCUUAAAAAAACCUCACUUACUAUAUCAUUCUGGAAUGGUGCUAAUCUCUAUUGUGGAGGUCAAAGCAAGCUUUCUAUUAUAAGGUCCAUGGAACACACCUACUUCCCAGCCACUCACUUGCAGGGAACAAAAUCCAGCCGGUCAGAAUGCCCUGUGUGUAACAGGAUGCCGGAGCAGGAGCUUGAGGCAAUGCGGGUGAGGCACUUUGAAGCCAUGAGACCUCCAGGCUGAAGACUGAGCCCUGUGUGAGGCAGUGCUGGCUCAGUGCCACUGCAGAAGCAGCAGAGUUUUCUAUUUGCUCCUUGCAAAGGACAAUGGCCUAUUCAGGGACAAUACCAGCUGGAGAGGCCCCUGCCUCACAUCCUACCCAACAUCCAGCUCAGCCUUACCAGGUUGCUCCACAUGAGCAAGUGCUCUCAUGGCCUCCUUCUGCUAUAUGUUCACCUUUCCAGAGUUCAUCCUGAUAGCAUUUAGGACACAUAGAAUCUAGGUAAGAUUGGGCCCCGUGGUUACACUCACAAAGUCCCAACCUUGCAGUCACGUGGACUGGAGCAAUGCCCCAAAGUGCAAACACUGAUAGCUGGGGUGUGGUAAAGUUGGGGGUUAGCUGAGGACCCACAGCUUCUUUUUCUUUACACAUUUUCUUUGUAUGUUCCUAGGGUUCUGGAGCGCACGUUGCCUGUGCUGAUAAACUUAUCAGCAGCAGAGUGAAACAUCCGUUUCAUUUGCACUGUUUACAAACAGCAUAUUUCUCUAGUUGAUGAGUUGGGAUUGAGGGAACACGAUGAGUUUGUUUUCCACCUGUCCCCAUCGACACUUAGCACCAACUGGAUGGAUGCUGCCCUGGGGCCUUCCCCUGACCUGAUCCUCCACCCCUGCAUGCACCCUCCCCAGCCCUAAGCCCUGGUGAUGAGGAAAGGCAGUGGCACAGUGUGCAGACUCUGAUUACAUCUCCAAACAGGAGGAGCACACAAUUGGUGGGAGCCGCCUGCUUUCUAGCCCCUUUGUGCUCAGGGGUAGAAAUACAAAUAAGUCUCCAUGUCUUUUUCCUGCUUAUGUGAACAGAGAUCCGUUUUUCAAUAGCAGGCCCCAACAGAUAAGUAUUCCCUUUGCCUGGUAUUUAUUUUUUUGGGGGGAAGGCCCUUUCAUUGGCUAUCGAGACAGUACCCUGCAGCACCUGGGGUUGCAGGUAGAGCCAUGAUCCAGGGAUGCUUCCACACCUGCUGCAGUGCCACAGCAUCCACAUGCAGCCUGGGCACACCCAGCCAUUGCCCUGUUCUUUUGCACAACUCAGAGCCAAUUUGCAAAGCUCAGAGAUUUGGCUGAAGCAUCGUGCCAGGACCAUAGGAUGGGUGAUGGCAUCCCAGUGAAUUCUCAACCCAUUUGCUUUUGUCUUCGUUGUCUGGUCUCAUCUCUCGAGUUGUCUCAAGGAGAAUGGGAUCAUAAAUUUUACGAGCAAGUUUUCCCUCUUAAAUGAAUUACAUAACGCAACCAUUAUGCUUGAGUUGUAUCAGAAAGACCACAGAGAGAGAAGUGGUAGGAAUGGCAACAAUCCUCCCAACAAGCUGUGGCACAGCCCCGGCACCGCUGGCAGCACCGCGCCCAGCCUUCACCCGCUCUGCAUGUAACAUCACGCACCGCAUGAAACAGCAACAACACAGAGCCCAGCCAAGGCAGAAAGUGGAGCAGGGAGCAAUUGCUUUUCCUCUGCCUAGACUCACCAACAGGGCUACUUUUGAACUCACUCAUUCCCAAAAGCGCUUGGUGACCAAUCCAGCUGUGUGUGUGCCAUACAAGUGAGUGGAGGUCCUGCAGACAACUCCUAGGAUGAAGGCUCAGACUUGAACUUUAUUAUUUUACUGCACUUGGGGAAUUUCUUGGGUUAUUUCCUAAGUGUUUUCUAGGUGACUUCCUUGUUGCUAAGUCAAAACAUGGCCUUGACUAAACCUCCAUUUGCCCACAUAUAUUUAGAAGGAAUGCAAUGGGUCAGUUUCUUCCCUGCUUUGACUUGAUCAAGAAUCCACACAUCUCUCCCCUUUGUUACAGACAGGAAGGACUUUGCAACCCCCGAAUGCACAGCAACUGAGAAGUGCCUCAUGCUGUUAUAGGAAGUUCAGCAGAAGCAUUUAUGAAAGCAGCAUCCCAGAGCUGGCUGUCCACCUACCUGACAUACUGUAGUACAUCCCUGCCUUGUUGGCUGCCUCUCCACAGCUAUUUGUGCCCAGCAGCCUGCUGCAUUACAUGGAAUACUUUCAAAACCAGGACAGGGUCCUACAGCAUGUAAAUGUGGGAUCUGGCAGCGAUAAGGGAAAGCUGCUGCGAACAGACAAUGCGGACAGACACAGAGGCUUUGCAGAGUCCUGAAUCUGAAUCGACAUAUGAGGCUAUCAGGUUUCACUUGGUAAAAGGGGUUGUCUGCAGGACAACGUAUAUGAAAGAUGAAGUUACUUUGAAAGGGGGCUCUUGUGAGCCAUUGCAUUACAUCACAUUCAGACUGAGCCAUCAGCAGCUCAUCAGUUGACCUCUGGCUCUGAUUCUCAAUACCUAGAAGCAUCUGGCAUGAAAAAAACCCUUAGAGAAAGCACAGGGAGAGAAAUAUCUGCACUAAUUCAGCUGUGCAAAAUGCUUUAGAGAAGACUGCUCCACCUCAAGGAUAUCCUGAUAUUUCUGAGCCAUUAUGAGUAACAGCAGCAGAAAAUUUUCAUGGAAUUAUUUUGUGGUGUGUUUAACUGAGACAUAAAGAAGAGGAAAUCAGUAGAAUUCAAAAUCAAUUUCUACCUUACAGCUAAAACAUGUCAGCUUGGAUGACUUAGUAAAUAUUCCUAGCCACUAAUGUGUCUUUAUUUUGAUUGCACAGGAGGUAAAUCAUCCUCAUAAGCAUGUUGGAAAACCACAUUGACCUGGGACAUUUAUGAUGAAUUCCUUGCUCACAGUGCAGAUGUAAAUGAAAUAACUCUAUUGCCACAUCCUGCUUAGCACUUAAACACCAUUUCUAUCAUUUAUUUCCAUCACUUGAACUUAAGAACACAGAGGAAUUUUCUGAAUGUUAUGUAUGAAAAGUAUUUCUUUCUUAGAGUGAACCUGUAAAAAUGCACCCCCUUUUAAUGGUUAUCAGUGAUGAGCUCAGAGCAAGGCCCAAAGCCUGGAAUGUUUUGGAAUUCCAGGUUUAGUUCAUAUUCAUCACAUGAGCAAUACCUUCACCCUCUGUCAGACUGCAACCUUCCAUACUUCUCCAUGCUGAUGAACAUAAAAGGAACUGGUUGUGAUCAGGAUGGAAGAGUCACAACUAAUAAAAGUCCUUCCUGCCCAGAUUGGUGGUUUUUUUUUUUUUUUUUUUUUUUUU